rnacentral:rRNA from 1 species
UACGUAGGGUCCGAGCGUUGUCCGGAAUUAUUGGGCGUAAAGGGCUCGUAGGCGGUUCGUCACGUCGGGAGUGAAAACUCGGGGCUUAACCCCGAGCCUGCUUCCGAUACGGGCAGACUAGAGGUAGGCAGGGGAGAGCGGAACUCCUGGUGUAGCGGUGGAAUGCGCAGAUAUCAGGAAGAACACCGGUGGCGAAGGCGGGUCUCUGGGCCGAUAUUGACGCUGAGGAGCGAAAGCGUGGGGAGCGAACAGG